AGUGAACGCUGGCGGUAGGCCUAACACAUGCAAGUCGAACGGCAGCACAGUAAGAGCUUGCUCUUACGGGUGGCGAGUGGCGGACGGGUGAGGAAUACAUCGGAAUCUACUUUUUCGUGGGGGAUAACGUAGGGAAACUUACGCUAAUACCGCAUACGACCUACGGGUGAAAGCAGUGGAUCUUCGGACCUUGCGCGAUUGAAUGAGCCGAUGUCGGAUUAGCUAGUUGGCGGGGUAAAGGCCCACCAAGGCGACGAUCCGUAGCUGGUCUGAGAGGAUGAUCAGCCACACUGGAACUGAGACACGGUCCAGACUCCUACGGGAGGCAGCAGUGGGGAAUAUUGGACAAUGGGCGCAAGCCUGACCCAGCCAUACCGCGUGGGUGAAGAAGGCCUUCGGGUUGUAAAGCCCUUUUGUUGGGGAAGAAAAGCAGCAGGUUAAUACCCCGCUGUUCUGACGGUACCCAAAGAAUAAGCACCGGCUAACUUCGUG
rnacentral:rRNA from 1 species